rnacentral:rRNA from 1 species
GGGGAAUCUUGCGCAAUGGGCGGAAGCCUGACGCAGCGACGCCGCGUGCGGGAGGAAGGCCCUCGGGUCGUAAACCGCUUUCAGCAGGGACGAGGCCGCAAGGUGACGGUACCUGCAGAAGAAGCCCCGGCUAACUACGUGCCAGCAGCCGCGGUAAUACGUAGGGGGCAAGCGUUAUCCGGAUUCAUUGGGCGUAAAGCGCGCGUAGGCGGCCAGCCUGGUCGGGAGUCAAAUCCGGGGGCUCAACCCCCGUCCGCUCCCGAUACCGGCCGGCUUGAGUCUGGCACGGGAAGGCGGAAUUCCCGGUGUAGCGGUGGAAUGCGCAGAUAUCGGGAAGAACACCAGUGGCGAAGGCGGCCUUCUGGGCCACAACUGACGCUGAGGAGCGAAAGCUGGGGGAGCGAACA